GGACUUUCUGUAGAGAUUUGAUUUUGUAGCAUAGAAAGGAGCUCUCAUGUUUGGCUUUUUCUUUUUCUAUGUAAUAUAAUGGACUGAUUUGAGAUUUAAAUCUUUGAUUCUUCAGGUUGCUCUGUAUGUUGGUGGUCUUUAUAUUUGUGGAAAGAUUGGAUGGGAAUCUGUAAUGAAAAUGUGACAAGACACACGAGAACUGUUCUUCUAUGAAACAUUUCAAUAUUACAACCCUCUCCUUCUCAUUGUAAGUCUUUGUCUAAAUCAGAAACUCAAACCCUUAACGUGUGUUUCAUUCCUCUAAUAUAUAUUCAAUUACUUUCAGACAAUGAUGGUUUGGCUCUGGGGUGUUAAUCUGUGGGUCUUUUCUCGAACUGGAGUCGAUUACGCAGCAAUAUUUUAUCUAGGACCAGAUCAUCAUAGUCACAAAGAGAUAUGGAAGGUAUUACAAUUCCUUAGUUACCUACCAUCUUUAUCCAAUGAUUUUCUAAAACCCAUCAUACUCUAAAAUCCAUCUCAACGCAGAUUGUCUACAUCGACUGCAUAAAAGUAGGACGUAUUCUUGGUCAAAGGUAAUUUUGUUUGCUUUAAAUCUAAUUGAUUCAUGCAUAUGUAAUCUGAAACUAUUUUUUCUCUGAAUCCUAUAACGUUUUGUUACAGAUGAUGAUCAUGUGGCUUUCUCACUGCUGCUUUUGCUGAAUCACUAUGGUUUACCCCAAGAGCGAGGUGAUAAGUAGAUAUUUUUCGAUGAGUAUUAUAGUUAAGCCUUAGACUACAGCUCAGAUUCAUCGAAUAUGCUUGUGCGCUUUAUAAGCACUUCAUUGUGCUCUUUCUUAAGGAGCUUCAGAUAUCUGCUUUCAGGUUUACGGUUUCUGUUGCUGCACACCAUUUUAAAUAGAAUUCAUAUUAUCAGUUUUUUCUUAUAUGUGUUUGUUUUGAGCUUCAUCUGCUUAAGCCACCGUCGAGUCAUGUGACCGGAAACAGGAACAGUAGGCAUACAGCUAGGAAUAAUGGGUAUGUCAUAUUUCCAAUAUUUCCUUUUUUAGCUUUCCCCCAACAUUUUCAGUUUAUUUAUCAUAAUCUGUCUUGAUGGGUUGGUGGAACUCCUCAGCUUAAAUUAUCUACGUUAUAAUAGGUGUUGUAUAAAGUUGUAAGACUUUCAGCUUAAAGCACUGCAAAUUCCAUAGCUCUGAAGAAAAAUGACAAGGCCGUAAACCGAGCAAGGAACGAAUAUUUGGAAAAGGUAUUUGCAUAGAAAAUGAUUGGGCUUUGGCAUUGUAAGCUUUUGAUCUGUUCUCAAACUAGGUGCACAUAAUGCUAUGCUUAUUCGAAGGCAUCACAAUUGGUAUUCAAAAGUCUGAGAGAGACUCUAUAGUUCGUCUGUCAAGCUUCCCAAGUUUAUUCAUUCUCCAAGUUAUUAGUUAUUUUCCUAUAUAUUAUCAUUUUAAGUUCCACUCCUUUUUUUUCUGUGACUUUUUAUCUUAUGUAGUAGCAUAUUGAAUAUCCUAUUUUAAGUUCCACUCUUUUUUUUCUGUGACUUUUUAUCUUAUGUAGUAGCAUAUUGGAUGUCAUUUUUCUUCAGAGCUACUGAUAAGAACCUAACAAUCUCAGAAUUCACAAGUUUCUAUGCGGUGCUGAAGUCAUUUUCUGUUCCAGAACCUAGAAUCCCGUGGCCAUAGUCACCAUUUCAACCGCGGUAACCCUACUUUGGGUCAGCUUGCGUACCAUUACAUUGCAGUUAAGUUCAAGCGGAUUAACUCUUCCUUGACCGGUAAAAGGUUGUUUGUUUCUUUGACUAAGAUUUUGGACCCGAACAGAGCUCCGUCUCUCAAGUUAGCUAUGGAGAAUCCAAAAUGGACUGAGGGGAAAACAAGUAUUUGGAUGAGUGAAUACUCAACGUAUAUCACUUAGCCAAGUUCCUUCUCAAAUUAGUGUUUCCACGUUAAAAAAAGGCUAUUGUAAAUGGGGACCACUUGCUUGUGUAUAUAUUCUUACACAUUGAUGUUAGUUGAUUAAGAUUCAGUUCAGCAAACUCAUCUCAUCUUUGAACUUAACCAGUGCAGCUCCUGAAUUGACCAUGACUUGAACCCCUCUAACCAUCAAAAGUCCUAAAAUGGACGCUUGCAUGAACAAAUUAACAAUUCUAGCUGUCUCUGGUGGAGUAACGGACAAUAUUCACCGACUCACCCAGAAACUCCAAUGUUUUUCUGUCAAACAAAACAAGCCAUCCUUCCUACUUUAAUCUGUAAGUGCAUAUUAAUGAUAUUUUUUCUCUUUGCUUCUUUUAUAAGCUUCAAGCUGUCUGAGAAGUACACGUCAAAAGAUUGAAUCCUACGUGGAAAAGAUGCAUGAGCUCAGGGCCUAUGUACUCCCCUUGAUCAGCAUCCAUAAUGAGCUAAGAAAUGACUUUUGUCUAACACAUUAAUAGUUUAUCUGACUAAUUUCAUUAAGUAACUAAAAGGUUUUUUUAUAUGAAUGUUGUUGAGUUUCCGUUGAUACCAUAUGCUGUUCAGUGUUCACACAAUGAAAGCCAACGAAGAAGUGAACCGGGAAAAACCAUACAAAAUAAAUAAAUGUUGUAGAAUGUUAUUAUAUUUUUGAUUUUUUUUUUUCAUUUGGAAUUCACUUUGCCACAUGAAACAAAGGUAAUAAGUAAUAACAUGAUUCUCCUCUAACAGAAAAAUAACAUGAUUCUCAUGCGUAUACAGUUGCUUUUUUUACCACCAUUGUUUUAAGAUAUAUUAAAAUAAAUCCAUAAUGAUUUUCUAAUAACGAUAUUAUGAAAAGCAAAACAGACGAGAAAAGAGAAUACAAU